GACAGAGGGUGCAAACGUUGCUCGGAAUUACUGGGCGUAAAGCGUGUGUAGGCGGUCCACUAAGUCGGGUGUGAAAGCCCUGGGCUCAACCCAGGAAGUGCACUCGAAACUGGCGGGCUAGAGUAUCGGAGAGGUUGGUGGAAUUCUCGGUGUAGAGGUGAAAUUCGUAGAUAUCGGGAGGAACACCGGUGGCGAAGGCGGCGACCUGGGUAGAUACUGACGCUGAGGUGCGAAAGCGUGGGGAGCAAACAGG
rnacentral:rRNA from 1 species